rnacentral:rRNA from 1 species
UACGUAGGGUGCGAGCGUUAAUCGGAAUUACUGGGCGUAAAGCGUGCGCAGGCGGUUUUGUAAGCCAGAUGUGAAAUCCCCGGGCUCAACCUGGGAAUGGCAUUUGGGACUGCAAGGCUCGAGUGCGGCAGAGGAGACUGGAAUUCCUGGUGUAGCAGUGAAAUGCGUAGAUAUCAGGAGGAACGCCGGCGGCGAAAGCGACUCUCUGGCCUGUAACUGACGCUGAGGCGCGAAAGCUAGGGGAGCAAACGGG